UGUUCAUUAUAUACAUCUACAUGAUGUAUUGUUACACCAUGUUGGAGCAGUAUAGACCUAGUCUGUUCAUUAUAUACAUCUACAUGACGUAUUGUUACACCAUGUAGGAGCAGUAUGGACCUACAGUAGCUUGCUAAUUAUUUAGAUUUAGUUUGACUUAAUGAAACUGCCUUAAAUGUGCUGUAGUAAACAUUUUUUAUCCACACUAAUCAAUCAACACAUUCCUGUCUUUGUAUGUCUCAAUAUAAUGGUAUUAUUUAAUUAAAUCCAUUUAAAAUAAUCUUUGUCUGAAAAUAAAAUAUGAUCCUCAACUGCGUUUCCCCUCCAGUCAGCAGACGGCGAUGUGCGUCUUUCAGGCGACGCUGCCAGCGUGACGUAUAAUCUAGUGGACGGUUCUUCAUAAACAGCUCGUCAACCACCUCCGUAGCUUGCUAGCCAACAUAGCCGAACGAUUCAAGCUAUUUAUACGCUUUCGGUGUAUAUUAGCUGCUGUGUUUUCGACACACUUAGGUCGUAUCUACUUGUUAACCUAUUUAAUAUUACGUUAUUUUGUAUUAGUCAGCUAUAGUAGCUGGCUGGUUAAGUUAGCACUAGCCUAGUCGCUAAUGAUAGCUAGCUAGCUAACAUCCCUGAACAUGAGCUCCCUAAACUUCUCCCCUCUCGUUGAAGAAGAGGAUAAGGUCUGCUGGACGGAGAAAGGAGGUCUGUGGCUGAACAUUAACGUGAAAGAGGAGGAGGAAGAAGAGGAUGUCACAGUAAAACAAGAAGUAGAGGGUGAGGCUGUUACAGUGAAAGAAGAAGAGAAAGACGUUUCAGUGAAAGAAGAGGAAGACGCGUUCAGAGUUAAAGAGGAGGAAGAUGAGAAAGAGGAGGAUGUAGUUUUUGGUGUGAAAGAGGAGGGGGAGAUUACUGUCACAUUGGAGGAAGAAGAGGAGGUUGGAGAUCCGUUUAACCCCAGUAAGUACCGUCUCUGCAGUCAUUGAACCAAUAUGCAGUAAAGGGGUUCUACACUUUAAUGUUGUUCUGUAGGAAUGGCUGAAGCUACACUGUAACGUGUAGAACAUCAAGAGUGGACCAUCAACAAAACGUUAACAAUUGAUCAAAUGCAUCCAAUGACAAUGCCUGAAAUACUGUAGUCCUCAAUAUCUCCUAUUAGAUUCGCCCAAUAUGUAGUCUUAAAGGGGCAAUCAGCAGUUGUUACAUCCAUUUUGGGACUUAUACAUUAAUGAUAUGUACCCAUUGUUUCUUGAAGAAUUCCCUUAUAAAUGCCUCAUGAGCUUAGUUCAACUGUUGUACCCCAUCAGAACCCAAAAUAUAAGCAUUUAUUUUACUCCAAUGUUAGUCAGUAAAUAUAAACAAACACUGUAUAUCCUCAAAACGUGGUUAUAACUAGAAUGUUGAUAUCAUGAAUGGUUGCAUUUCUCCAGCCCCAUCCCUCAGCUUUUUACCGAAACAGGCAGGGAGUACGCUUUGAUAUUGUUUCUACUGCUGAUUGCUGCCCCCGUUACUCCUCAAGGUCCAAGGACUGUAUGUUAUUUUCAGAGGUAGACUGGCUCUGGCAGCUAAAAUAGUCAAAUAUUCCAUCUAAAUGUGAAUCGAUUCUCAACGGGCAGGGAGUACGCUUUGUUAUUGUUUCUACUCCUGAUUCUCUGCCCCAGUUACUCCUCAAAAUAAUUUCACAUAAUACUUUCAUAUCACAUAACAAUUAUUUCACACAAUACUUUCAUAUCACAUCAAAAUAAUUUUAAAUACUUUAACAUCAAAAUAAUUUCACACAAUACUUUCAUAUCACAUCUAAAUAGGUAACCAGUCUGUAUAGAUAGAUAGCUAAGUGAAUUAAAUAUCAUCAGCUGUCUAACUUCAUAUUAGCUAGCUAUCUUGAUGUAUUUAUCACUAUAAAAAAACAAACUCCAAAUGCAUUUGAAGGUAGCUAGCUAACAACCAUGGAGGGUGAAAGGAUAGCAGCCCCAACUGUCAGUGAGAGAGGAGGCUAUUCUGGAUAGGGCAGGUACUUUUGUGUAGUUCCUGUCCCUAGAAGUGAGGACGGCGAUAAUAGUAACAUAAUAUUCAGUGUGGUGUAAUUUGACUAUAAUGAAGUGAGUUUCUUGUGAGGUUUUCUGUCCUCAGAUAAAGAGCGCUAUGAAAGCCAGUCUACAUAUGAAGAGGUCCCAAUGAAGAGCAGUGGUUCUCAGUCCUGGGGACUCAAAGAGGCACAUUGUUGUUUUUGCCUCAGCACUGCACAGCUGAUUCAAAUGAUCAACUUAUCAUCAAGCUUCAAGUGGUAUUUAUGUAGUCAUUUGUGAUGCCAUCCUUGAUAUGAUCCUGUUAUUGUCACAUGCUACACAUGUACAUAUAUGUGCCCAUGCAUCUAUCAAUCCAAUGUUAUCAUGAUUUGUUAUCAGGGAUAUUAUACUUUAGUAAUCCACAAUGACCUGGUGAUGUAACAGUCUAAUAAUGACAUUGUCUUCCAUAUUCCUACAGAUACCUUGUAACUGGAGAUUCCUUCAAAACGAUUGCCUACAGUUGCCGUGUAGGGCACUGCAAGGUUGGGUGACCAGGGUCAUCUGGGAUUGCCUCCUAGAGGAAUUCAGGUGUGUGAAAGCUACCUGUGUCCUGCGUAACUUCAUGAGGAUGGACACGCGGACCAGGAGGGGAUCUGCAGCUCGCCGCCGUGUCCCAGAGGAGGAGUCUGCUGCUCUGCAGGAUGUUUCAAGGAUGGGGUCCAACCACGCAGCAAGAGAGGCAAUCCGUGUUCGGGAGAUCUUCACCUCCUACUUCUUCAAAGAGGGUGCUGUUCCCUGGCAACACCAUAGACUACACUAUGCACAACCAAAGGCUCUUUUAAGAGGGUACUGUUCCCUGGCAACACCAUAGACUACACUAUGCUCAACCAAAGACUCUUUUAAGAGGGUGCUGUUCCCUGGCAACACCAUAGACUACACUAUGCACAACCAAAGGCUCUUUUAAGAGGGUGCUGUUCCCUAGCAACACCAUAGACUACACUAUGCACAACCAAAGGCUCUUUUAAGAGGGUGCUGUUCCCUAGCAACACCAUAGACUACACUAUGCUCAACCAAAGACUCUUUUAAGAGGGUGCUGUUCCCUGGCAACACCAUAGACUACACUAUGCACAACCAAAGGCUCUUUUAAGAGCCAUUCACAUUGAAAUAAGAGUAUUCUUCCAUUUACUUAGCAAUGUCAACUGCAGUUAUUCAAUUCACAGUUUCUCUCCCUUUAACUGUGGCUCCUUCCACCUUCAAAGAAUAGGCAAGAGGGCCAACCAUGGAGAAUAGUAAGACACUUCAUUAUUUCUAUAACUACGCUAUAUUGUUUGUCUUUGUGUGCCCGUUCAUGUUUUUCAGCAUAAAGUACUCUGCAGCCACUUAGUGUGGUGUGGACACCAGGUGAGGCCACACACAGAUUCCUGUUGAACACUGUGGCUUUAACUACCUUAUUUUCUCAAUAACAGUCUCUCUCCUUCACUUCAUCCCUCUCUCCUCUUCUCCCUAAGUCCUCUAGGUUAUAUCAGCUGUGUCGGUGAACCCCUCCUGCAUCUGAACUGGCUACAUAGAGGGCACAGCAUGAUCAGAGAUAUGUUUUUAUGUGAGAGGAUGCCAAACCCCAGUCCCAUCAUCGCCACCUCACCUGCUUUUAAGAUAACCUUUGGGCCGACUAGAGACACUAUUAUGUAAUUGUGAUGAACUGAGAGAAUAUUUAUGUAGCACUGUGAUUCAUUAAUCAUGUGCUGCCUUCCCUGCUCCUAUGUGCUUACCUCUUUCCCUUUCUGUCUUUUACACCUCUCUCUCCACCUCUUUCUUCCUCUGUUUUUAUAAUGCACAACAGAUGUGCAUUGAAGUACAGAUUAAACUUGUAUUUAUAUCACUUGGAUAAUGAGCUUUUCAAUAAAGCGUUUCACAUUCUCUACUGGUUGAAA